rnacentral:rRNA from 1 species
AGGGUUUGAUCAUGGCUCAGGACGAACGCNGGCGGCGUGCUUAACACAUGCAAGUCGAACGGAAAGGCCCUGCUUGCAGGGUGCUCGAGUGGCGAACGGGUGAGUAACACGUGGGUGAUCUGCCCCUUACUUUGGGAUAAGCCUGGGAAACUGGGUCUAAUACUGGAUAGGACCAUGCUGUAGGUGGUGUGGUGGAAAGAUUUUUUCGGUAAGGGAUGAGCUCGCGGCCUAUCAGCUUGUUGGUGGGGUAAUGGCCUACCAAGGCGUCGACGGGUAGCCGGCCUGAGAGGGUGGACGGCCACAUUGGGACUGAGAUACGGCCCAGACUCCUACGGGAGGCAGCAGUGGGGAAUAUUGCACAAUGGGCGCAAGCCUGAUGCAGCGAUGCCGCGUGAGUGAAGAAGGCCCUUGGGUUGUAAAGCUCUUUCGUCGGGGAAGAAAAUGACUGUACCCGAAUAAGAAGGUCCGGCUAACUUCGUGCCAGCCGCCGCGGUAAUAC